rnacentral:rRNA from 1 species
UACGUAGGGGGCUAGCGUUGUCCGGAAUCAUUGGGCGUAAAGCGCGCGUAGGCGGCCCCGUAAGUCCGCUGUGAAAGUCAAAGGCUCAACCUUUGAAAGCCGGUGGAUACUGUGGGGCUAGAGUACGGAAGAGGCGAGUGGAAUUCCUGGUGUAGCGGUGGAAUGCGCAGAUAUCAGGAGGAACACCAAUAGCGAAGGCAGCUCGCUGGGACGUUACUGACGCUGAGGCGCGAAAGCGUGGGGAGCGAACAGG